GACUCAGUGGUGUAAUGGAAACAUGCUAACUUGUAGUGCCGGGAGGGAAUCAGAUAAGCUGGUAAUCCCUGUUUGAUUCAGGGCUAGGUCA